AGUUGUUGUUUUCUCCUCACAUGGAAAUGCUGCAAUCCUCUCUCCUAUGAUGCUGUGCCAGACUCAAGGGCUAAACAAGCACCACCCAGCCAUGUAAAGCCUCACUCAUUGGGUUACCAAUUUUCUCCUAUGAUAGAGAGAACAUGACACCUGGACACACAAGACCUUGUACUGCCAGCAGCAGGGUAGCUUUCUGGACUGUUGAACCCUCAAUACUUUCUGACAGCUGUAAUGCAGAGCAUGUCACAUAGGAACAACUCGCCCUUGGAUAAGGUGUGCUUGACUGCAGAUGGUACCAAAAAGACCAAAGAAGAUUACAGCCACCCACCAAAGGAAGGAGCCUAUAUCUGUGGACUUUUCAUGGAAGGCAAGAAAUAAAAUUAAACUGCGU